rnacentral:lncRNA from 1 species
UUUUCUCUGAAGUUCCAGAGACUUCUCACCUACUCCUCCUUCUCUCUACUUUCUCUCUCUAUAACUUUCAUGAUUCAUCUGCUUAAUCUCGAUGUUAACACAAGAUGUCACAUGAUAUGAAGUGUAUAUUCUCAGUGUAUAUUUAUUGUAUUUUUGGUAUCCAGUGGUAUACAACAAAUUGGGCAGUGAUGAAUGUCUGGUUUGGGCCUCUCUGAGCCCAAUCCUUGAGAGUCAUAUCUGAGCCCAUCCGAGACCCAUUUAUUUUGGGUCCUUUACAAGACCCAUUGUAUUAAAUAUAUAUUGGGGUCCCUAGAUAUUUCGGGACCCCCGGACUUCAUUUUGUACAAUUCUCUUUCUCGGUUGAAUAAAUUUUUCUCUGAAGUUCCAGAGACUUCUCACCUACUCCUCCUUCUCUCUACUUUCUCUCUCUAUAACUUUCAUGAUUCAUCUGCUUAAUUUGGAUGUUAACAGGAAUCCAGCCCCAUUUCAACCCAAAUCCAUGGUGAGUGAUCCCAAAUCCCUAACCCACGCGUCCAUCCUUCUCUUUUCUUGCCGUUUUUAACAGUUUCUGACGCCAAGAUUUUCCUUUCCUCCCACUCGCUCGAUUUUGAGAUAAGGCACGCGAUUGGAAGUUCCUAGAGACGUUUCCUUGGAUGAAUGUGAGGCGUUGGAUUGAAUUCGUUCAAUCCAAGCCCCACAUUCAUCAGAGGUUUGUUUUCAUAAGGGAUCAGAUCCGAUUUUGAAGAGGGAGGGUUUUUCAGAGAGGAUUUUAGAGAGGUUUCUUCAAAAAACUUGAGGAAAAAUCAUUGUUCAAAAGUUUCCUUCUUCAUUUCCAUUGUUUUUUUUUCUUUUUCAUAUAUCAGAACAAAAAUAAU